AGCACGACUUCGCACUUUUAGGGAUAACGAUAAUAUAGAACGAGGUCAAGAACUGACGCCGGAAAUCGAGAGAGCAAUCACACAAUCUAGGGCUUCUAUAAUUGUAUUGUCGGAGAGAUAUGCGAAUUCCAGAUGUUGCUGCUGAUCCUUGCGCAGAGGCGGAACUUUAAUCAUUUCAUUUUACCGAUUUUUUACCAUGUCAGGAACCACAGACGAAAUUUUGAGAUAGAAGUGACAGGGUCAAAACGGACAGAGUAUAAAGUCAAUCGAUGGAAGGCAGCCCUUACAGAGGUUGCUGAUUUGAUCGGAAUGAUUGCUUCUGGAUUCAGGUAUGCAAGCAUCAUGUCUCUUCUUUUGCUUAUAUUGCUUUGAAUGUAUGCAAACUGCAAAGAGCAGAACCAGGUAAUUACAUGCUUACAUGUGUGUGUUUGUGUUUGUGUUUGUGUUGGAGAAAUUACAUUGAAGACAAGAUAGAACAGGAAAGUUUCUUGUGUAACAAAACAGAAUUUUUAUUUAUCACUUGUAACAACAUUUUACAUCAUAUUACAUACACAUGUAGCCUAUGAAGCCAUCACAACCGAUAACUAAUGUGCCUCUUAAGAAGACACCCCUACACAAAUUGUUGCAACCUUUCAUUUGUGGUUGAUAAUUUAACUGCUGCCUAACUAUAAUUGCCAAAUUAACCGUAAUAAAUUUGAAGUAAACUUUAGUCUAGAUUAACUUUCAACAGUUUGUAUAAUUGAAAUUUUCAUUUGAUCUGAGAAAUAUAUUUUCUGUCACUUAUGUAUAGAUAUCAUGCCAUUCUCACCCUUGUGCUUAUUUUCUUUAUUCUUUUCACACAGGUCUGAAGACUCUGAAGUAGACUUUAUUGCGAAAAUUGUUGAUAUAGUUAAUUAUAAACUAGAUAUGAAACUAGCUACUCCAGCUAAUCUAAUAGGAAUGGAUUCUCGAGCUAGAUUUAUCAACUCUUUGUUGGAAAAUGAGCAAUCUGGGGAUAAUGCUCUAGCAAUUUGUGGCAUGGGUGGUAUUGGAAAGACACUGGCUCAAUUCAUUUACAACUCAAACAAACAAAAAUUUUGAAGUAGCAGUUACCUUGAAGAGAUUGGAAAUCAUUAUAAACAAUCAGAUGGUUUGCUUGGGCUACAGAAACAACUUCUUAGAGACAUUCUACGGGGAAAGAAUGUGAGUAUAUUUAGUGUAUCUGAAGGUACGAGGAGUGUUGAGGAGGCAUUACAAGUGAAAAAUAUGUUUAUUGUUCUUGAUGACAUUGAUGAACAUGAUGAAUUAAGCGCUUUACUUGGAACAAUCGCUUUUCAUGCACAAAUCAAGAUCAUAAUAACAACUAGGCAUUUAGAUAUACGUUCAUGGUUUAGGUCCAUAUCUUGGAGCUGUAGGAUGCAUGAACUUGAAUUGUUGAAUGAUCAUGAAUCAUUAGAGCUUUUAAGUCACCAUGCAUUUGGAUUCCAGACGCCUAUGGAAGAUUUCAAGGAGCUUGCAGUUCAAUUAGCACAUUAUUGUGGUGGAAGCCCACUAGCUCUUAAAGGGUGGAAGCCCACUAGCUCUUAAAGUACUAGGUUAUUCUUUAUCUGUUGAUCUGUGAGGAAAAAAUAGCAUGAUAGAAUUUUGGAGAAGUUCAUUGAAUUUGUUGAAAGGAGAUUCUGAUUGUAAAAUUCAAGGUAUACUACAAAAGAGAUUUGAAUCAUUUACCACAUGCCUGUAAUAAAGAGUUGUUUUUGCA